GACGGUAUAUCUCGGGGGUAGAGUGCAUGUUUAGCAUGCAUGAGAUCCUGGGUUUAAUCCCCAGUAUCUCCA
rnacentral:tRNA from 1 species